rnacentral:rRNA from 1 species
AGGGGUUUUGGAUCCUGGGCUCAGGAUGAACGCUGGCGGCGUGCUUAACACAUGCAAGUCGAACGCAAAAGCCCCCUUCGGGGGGUGAGUAGAGUGGCGAACGGGUGAGUAACACGUUGGUGACCUGCCCCGAGGUGGGGGAUAACCGUGGGAAACCGCGGCUAAUACCCCAGAUGUUAAGGAGUUUAGACGCCCUUAACUAAAGUUCCGGCGCCUUGGGAGGGGCCUGCGGGCUAUCAGCUUGUUGGUGGGGUAAUGGCCUACCAAGGCUAAGACGGCUAGGGGGCGUGAGAGCGCGACCCCCCACAAUGGAACUGAGACACGGUCCAUACUCCUACGGGAGGCAGCAGUGAGGAAUAUUGCGCAAUGGGGGAAACCCUGACGCAGCAACGCCGCGUGAACGAUGAAGGCCUUCGGGUUGUAAAGUUCUUUUCUGAGGGAAGAUAAUGACGAUACCUCAGGAAUAAGUCCCGGCUAACUACGUGCCAGCAGCCGCGGUAAAACGUAGGGGGCGAGCGUUAUCCGGAUUUAUUGGGCGUAAAGCGCACGUAGGCGGCGCUGUAAGUUGGGCGUGAAAGCUCUUAGCUUAACUAAGAGAGGUCGUUCAAAACUACAGUGCUUGAGGUUGGAAGAGGAGAGUGGAAUUCCCGGUGUAGUGGUGGAAUGCGUAGAUAUCGGGGAGGAACACCAGUGGCGAAAGCGACUCUCUGGUCCACACCUGACGCUGAGGUGCGAAAGCGUGGGGAGCGAACGGGAUUAGAUACCCGGUAGUCCACGCCGUAACGAUGGAUACUAGGG